GUGGUCCGAAAUGGUUGACAAUG
rnacentral:miRNA from 1 species